ensembl:snRNA U6 U6 spliceosomal RNA
GUGCUUGCUUCGGCGGCACAUAUACUAAAAUUGAAAUGAUACAGAGAAGAUUAGCACGUCCCCUGGGCAAGGAUGACAUGCAAAUUCGUGAAGCGUUCCAUGUUAAA